rnacentral:rRNA from 2 species
CAUGCAAGUCGAACGCCCUAGCAAUAGGGAGUGGCAGACGGGUGAGUAACGCGUGGGAACGUACCCUUCGGUUCGGAAUAAGCCGGGGAAACCUGGUCUAAUACCGGAUACGUGCGAGAGCAGAAAGAUUUAUCGCCGAAGGAUCGGCCCGCGUCCGAUUAGCUAGUUGGUGAGGUAAUGGCUCACCAAGGCGACGAUCGGUAGCUGGUCUGAGAGGAUGAUCAGCCACACUGGGACUGAGACACGGCCCAGACUCCUACGGGAGGCAGCGGUGGGGAAUAUUGGACAAUGGGCGAAAGCCUGAUCCAGCCAUGCCGCGUGAGUGAUGAAGGCCCUAGGGUUGUAAAGCUCUUUCGCCAGGGACGAUAAUGACGGUACCUGGAUAAGAAGCCCCGGCUAACUUCGUGCCAGCAGCCGCGGUAAUACGAAGGGGGCUAGCGUUGUUCGGAUUUACUGGGCGUAAAGCGCACGUAGGCGGAUUUUUAAGUCAGGGGUGAAAUCCCAAGGCUCAACCUUGGAACUGCCUUUGAUACUGGAAGUCUCGAGUCCGGGAGAGGUGAGUGGAACUGCGAGUGUAGAGGUGAAAUUCGUAGAUAUUCGCAAGAACACCAGUGGCGAAGGCGGCUCACUGGCCCGGUACUGACGCUGAGGUGCCAAAG